rnacentral:rRNA from 1 species
GACGAACGCUGGCGGCGUGCUUAACACAUGCAAGUCGAACGGAAAAGCCCUGCUUUUGUGGGGUGCUCGAGUGGCGAACGGGUGAGUAACACGUGAGUAACCUGCCCUUGACUUUGGGAUAACUUCAGGAAACUGGGGCUAAUACCGGAUAGGAGCUCCUGCUGCAUGGUGGGGGUUGGAAAGUUUCGGCGGUUGGGGAUGGACUCGCGGCUUAUCAGCUUGUUGGUGGGGUAGUGGCUUACCAAGGCUUUGACGGGUAGCCGGCCUGAGAGGGUGACCGGCCACAUUGGGACUGAGAUACGGCCCAGACUCCUACGGGAGGCAGCAGUGGGGAAUAUUGCACAAUGGGCGGAAGCCUGAUGCAGCAACGCCGCGUCCGGGAUGACGGCCUUCGGGUUGUAAACCGCUUUCGCCUGUGACGAAGCGUGAGUGACGGUAAUGGGUAAAGAAGCACCGGCUAACUACGUG